rnacentral:rRNA from 1 species
GGCCUUUUGAUUAUGAUUUAAGGUCUUGCCUGCCCAAUGAUGUAAAAAUUUAAUGGCCGCAGUAUUCUGACUGUGCAAAGGUAGCAUAAUCACUAGUUUUUUAAUUGAAAGCUUGUAUGAAAGGUUUGAUGAGAAAAGAACUGUCUCUAUCUAAAAUUUUAGAAAUUUAUUUUUAAGUUAAAAAGCUUAAAUUCUUAUUGAAGACGAGAAGACCCUAUAGAGUUUGAUUUAUACAUUAAUAGAUAGAAUUUAGUAUUUAAAAUUUUAUUUUUAUAUAAAUUUAGUUGGGGUGAUUGAAAAACUUAUAUAACUUUUUUUUUAUUUUUACAUUUAUUUAUGAAUGAUUGAUCCUUUGUUAGAUUAUAAGAUAAAAUUACCUUAGGGAUAACAGCGUAAUUUUUUUUAGAGUUCUUAUCGAAAGAAAAGAUUGCGACCUCGAUGUUGGAUUAAAAUUUAAUUUUUGGUGUAGAAGCUAAUAAAUUAGGUCUGUUCGACCUUUGAAUUUUUACAUGAUCUGAGUUUAAACCGGCGUAA